rnacentral:rRNA from 1 species
AAGUUGGAAUCGCUAGUAAUCGCGGAUCAGCAUGCCGCGGUGAAUACGUUCCCGGGCCUUGUACACACCGCCCGUCACACCAUGAGAGUCGGGAACACCCGAAGUCCGUAGUCUAACCGCAAGGGGGACGCGGCCGAAGGUGGGUUCGAUAAUUGGGGUGAAGUCGUAACAAGGUAGC